GCCUUGUCACCGGCCGCCCAUGAGCUCGUUUCUAUUUUCCGCUGUCCUGCAAAACACGGUUCAGAACGGAGAGGGGUUUUGGUCACACUGCUUUGUCCUUUUGUGGAAAAAGUCCGAAGAGCUUAAGACCGUUUGGCUCAGCAGAGUCCUUACUUUUGCAAAACAAGGUCCUGCUGUCUUGUUAAUACCAGCUCAAACCAAACCCACGCUCACGCCAAUCUCAGCUAACAGCUAAAAUCAUAUUGAAGCCUUUCACCAGUGUUAAACCUGUAUCUACAGCAUCACCCAGCUCUCCCCCCAAGACCAGUCCCGAGACAGCUGCCCCAGCAUCCACCUCAAUGACUGCUCUGGAAGACAUUUCUUAAUGGCUGUUUUUACUGCUGUCAGUAAUGCAGACGUUGUUGCUUUAAAAAUGCAUCACAAACAGUGAAAGUGAAAGCUUCAGAGACUUGGUGGUGAGGAGAAGGGAAGGCACUGGCUCAGUUGCCAGCUGAUGGAAGAGCAGUGAGGAUGUCUAUCGUGUUCCAGGUGUUUGUAGAUGGAGUGGAGGGCAGAAGAAGCAUCAUAGAUGUGGCAAAUAAAGAGCAGGAAUUCAACAAUAUGACCAUUGACAAAUUCAUGGAGAUGGUGGCAACCAAACUCCUGAAGAAGCCAGGUUACCAACAAUUUAGUUUGCUGUACGCUAACCAACAAGUGGAAAAAGGGAAGAAAUUUUCAGAUUACUUCAUCAGAAACAAGUCUAUCUUUGUCAUGGUUAUGCAGCUGCCUGGAGGAGGGGGUAAAAUGUUGACUUACAUGAAGGACUUGUCAGUUUUCACAUAGAAAAUGAUGUCCAUCUGUGUCUACCCUGGACUGUGGUGGGCUCCUGCAUAGGCAUGGGUUUGGUUAUCAUUUGCCUGGAAAGAAACCAGAGAGGGGAAGGGUGGUGAGCCUCCAGGGUCACUGCAACACCCAGAGCUCAGCACACCAGUGGGGACACCUGGCCAUCACGGCCAGUCCACCAAGACACCAGGUUAAUAAACAUGAGGAUCCUGCUGUUUUUCCUUUCCCUUGUGUGUUCCUUUCCAUCCCCUGCUAUCUUCCGCCUGUCCUAUCUCUGUGUGUGUGUGUGCGUCUUUGAGCUGAUCCUUUAAUCAACUGCAAGGCAUGACACCAGCACAAUGGCAUAAGAGAGCCCACUCAGUGAAGAACUGGUGAAGAAAAGGACCUGCCCAGAACAGCCAGAUGAUGACCAGGACUGGGAAAGUGAGUCAGGUCCAGAGCAACAGCUAUCCUGACCGACUUGCCAGCCCAGAGCAUCUAGACAUGACAGAUCAGCUGUCCUGUGUCCUGAAAACGCCGACACAAAGCCAUAUUUCUCCCACCUUACUAUUGGUUCUCUUCCUCCGCUUCCUUUUGCAUCCGUUUUGUUAAAAGCAGGAAAAGUAACCACAAAACUCACAGCUCUCAACAAAAAAAUAUUUCACAAGUAUCCUCUCUGAAAAAAAGGGACUUCAAGUUUUGCUUACAAUUGUUUUGCUUAACACUCACUUUCAAAAUCCUUUGUUUUGUUUUGAAUUAUUUUCUUGUGUAUCCUGCUUAAUAAAUUUCCAAGUUGCA